CUUUUCGCGACACCCUUCGCCGCCCCCCUCACCCGUGCCCCCCCCCUCCUCCGCCGCGCCACCGGAUCUCCGCUCGCUGACCGUGGCCUCGCCCUUGCCCAGCGCCGCCGCUCGCCGCAGCGUGCAACUCUGCCUCCCCGACGCGCGCGGGUCGCCGGAUCUCCGCGUGAGAUCGACAGCCCACCUCGCCGCUGCCCUGCUGUCUAUGCGCCGUACCCUCGCCCCGGCCCCCUACUUCACCGCCGUCGCCGCCGCCUACACCCGCGUUCGUACGUCGCCGCUCCGUCCCCGGCCGCCGGUCCGCGCCGUCCCGAUCGCCGAUCCGUGCUGCUACCGCGGGUCCGCCGGGUCGGUCGCCUCCCACGGCAGCAGGCUAGCCUUCCUCGUGCUGCGCCAGGGCAUGGGCACGGUGCAGUGUGUGGUCCACGCCGGCAGAGACGACAGCCCCGGCGUCAGCCCGGGGAUUGUGCGCUUCGCCGCCUCCCUCGCCGCGUAGUCGGUCAUCGACGUCGAGGGUGUCGUCGCCGCGCCCCGCGCCCCGUGCUCCGGGCCACCGCCCGGCACGUCAUGGUCCGCGGCAGCCUCCCGUUCAGCCAGCCUCGACGACGCGACGGCGGCAGCGGAGGCGGUGGAGCUCGAGGGCCAUGGAGCCGGAAGACCCCGCGUGGGCCAGGACACCCGCCUCAACUACAGGGCGCUCGAACUGCGAACGCCCGCGAACCAGGCGAUAAUCACUGCAAACGCCCACGAGCCAGGCGAUAAUCCGGAUCCUGUGCCAAGUUGAGAACGUGAGUAAUGAACGAACUCUAAUUUGAUGAUACUUUUUUCCUGCUGAUUCUGAUCUAAUUUGUUACUGCUAACCGAACCUGCUUAUGCAUCUUUCAUCAAUCACCAUUCACCUCGUAUGAUCUGUAGUUCAUUGAGCACUUUGCACUUGAACUGUAAAACUAAAACCGAGCCUGCUGAACCUUUUGCAGCUUAUAAGAACCACUGCCUUCGGUGUAUGCACAUGAUCUUACUGUCAGGCAUUGAGAUUUUUUCUUCUUAUCUAUUUCUUCACCGUUCAGUGUUCUGCUUUGGUUGUAGACUGUAAUGUAAAUCUGAAUCUUUUUGCCGGAUGUUGCGAGUGGUGUGCCGAGUGGGGUGCUGCUCCAGCUCCAGUUCCUACUGGAGAAGGCUGGGAUCCAGCUGGGGCUCCUGCACCUGUGGAGGGUGCCGUUCCUAUGGUUGUUGCUGCUUCGUCUGGUUGGGAUCCAGCAGCACAACCCACCGCCCAGGGCUGGGACUAGGCAUAGGCCCUCCCUUUGUGAUGCAUCUUGAAUUCAGGAAAUUUUCCAAAGUAUGAAUGUCCAAAAUCAGGAUGCAUCGUCUACAGCUAUGCAUUGAACACUUUUGUUUAGGGCUUUCUAGCUGAACUUGUGCCCCUGUUCUGUUUUCAACAUUGCUGCCAGAGGACUGCGAAGAAGUGGUAUAAGUAGCAUUUCUGUUUGUGUUGUUUAUGGAUCCGUGCAAUGUGAUGGUUCUAUAUAACAUGUUGAGGCAGUUGAGAAAAUUUGGUUGCCAUUUAUUUUGUGCUGUAUAAUCUUCCCAGUUCGUUUGAAGUUCCAUUCAGUUCGACUGAAUGAGAAACGGAAUUUCUAACUAACGCUCGAGUAAUUAUCGGCUUACUUUAUUAAUCAAUUUUCUUUACGUCGACUGCUUGCCUACCUUGCCAUACUGAGUGGGGUGCUACUUGAUUUCCAUGCAGGUUGAUGCUGCAGCCAUGCUGGGGAAGGGGGAAGGGCGGCGAGUACCGGCCCACCUUCACGGACGACCUCCUUCUCGCCUUCUUCUGGAGCAAGAUGGUGGCGCCGCUGACACCGAGGUAGCCUACGAGCUGGUUGCCGAGCCGAUCCAGGAGCCACUAGCA